rnacentral:rRNA from 1 species
UCACGCCAGUGGCAUAGCUGGGUAGCUAUGUUGGGAAGGGAUAAACGCUGAAAGCAUCUAAGCGUGAAGCCCACCCUAAGAUGAGAUUUCCCAUAACGUAAGUUAGUAAGACUCCUGAAAGAACAUCAGGUUGAUAGGUGAGGGGUGUAAGCAUGGUAACAUGUUCAGCUGACUCAUACUAAUAAGUCGAGGGCUUGACCUAAUAUAA